GACGAACGCUGGCGGCGUGCUUAACACAUGCAAGUCGAACGGAAAGGCCCUGCUUUUGUGGGGUGCUCGAUUGGCGCACGGGUGAGUAACACGUGAGUAACCUGCCCUUGACUUUGGGAUAACUUCUGGAAAAAGCGGCGAAUACCGGAUAUGAGAUCCUGCUGCAUGGGGGGGGAUAGAGAGUUUCGGCGGUUGGGGCUGGAUUCGAGGCUUAUCCGCUUGUUGGGGGGGUAGUGGCUUCCCAAGGCUUUGACGGGUAGCCGGCAUGGGAGGGGGACCGGCCACAUGGGGACUGCGGUACGGCCCAGAAUCCUACGGGAGGCAGCGGGGGGGAAUAUUGCGGAACGGGCGGAAGCCUGAUGUAGCAACGCUGGGUUCGGGAUGCCGUCUUUCUGGUUGUAAACAGAUUUCGCAGUUGAUGAACCGUUAGUGACGGUAAUGGGUAAAGAAGCACCGGCUAACUACGUG
rnacentral:rRNA from 1 species